rnacentral:lncRNA from 1 species
GAGCUGGAGACUUAGGGAGGAGACGUCUUGUUCUGGUCUGAGGGUCGUGGAGCUGCAGACCCAGGGAGGAGCAAUUUUGUUGUAGUUCGAGGGUCAGGAAGCUGGCGACCCAGGGAGGAGAGGUCUUGUACUAGUCUGAGGGUCGUGGAGCUGCAGACCCAGGGAGGGGCAAUGUUGUUGUAAUUCGAGGGUCUGGCAGCUGGCAACUCGGGGAGGAGAAGUCUUGUUCUAGUUUGAGGGUCGUGGAGCUGCAGACCCAGGGAGGAGCCAUGUUGGUUUGAAUGUUGUGGAU